UGUUAACCUUCCUAAUGGUGUGACUCUUU
rnacentral:piRNA from 1 species